rnacentral:rRNA from 1 species
AACGAACGCUGGCGGCAUGCCUAACACAUGCAAGUCGAACGAGACCUUCGGGUCUAGUGGCGCACGGGUGCGUAACGCGUGGGGACCUGCCCUUAGGUUCGGAAUAACUCCCCGAAAGGGGUGCUAAUACCGGAUAAUGUCUUCGGACCAAAGAUUUAUCGCCUUUGGAUGGGCCCGCGUUGGAUUAGCUAGUUGGUAGGGUAAAAGCCUACCAAGGCGACGAUCCAUAGCUGGUCUGAGAGGAUGAUCAGCCACACUGGGACUGAGACACGGCCCAGACCCCUACGGGAGGCAGCAGUGGGGAAUAUUGGACAAUGGGCGAAAGCCUGAUCCAGCAAUGCCGCGUGAGUGAUGAAGGCCUUAGGGUUGUAAAGCUCUUUUACCCGGGAUGAUAAUGACAGUACCGGGAGAAUAAGCUCCGGCUAACUCCGUG